GGUCAAGAGUGUCAGCGCGAAGCCCCGGCUCGCUGGCCGGCAACCCUCCAACCGCGGUGGGGUGCCCCGGGUGACGACCUGGUCGCGCGCCGUCCGGCGCCGGCAAGCGCGGGAC
rnacentral:ncRNA from 2 species